GUCGUUUGCCCUCCUUGGGCGUUUCCUCCCUAGACUUAGGCCGCUCGCCUCGCGAGCGGCCUUUUUUUCGUCUAUU
rnacentral:sRNA from 1 species